UACGUAGGUCCCGAGCGUUGUCCGGAUUUAUUGGGCGUAAAGCGAGCGCAGGUGGUUUAUUAAGUCUGGUGUAAAAGGCAGUGGCUCAACCAUUGUAUGCAUUGGAAACUGGUAGACUUGAGUGCAGGAGAGGAGAGUGGAAUUCCUUGUGUAGCGGUGAAAUGCGUAGAUAUAUGGAGGAACACCGGUGGCGAAAGCGGCUCUCUGGCCUGUAACUGACACUGAGGCUCGAAAGCGUGGGGAGCAAACAGG
rnacentral:rRNA from 1 species